rnacentral:sRNA from 1 species
UCAUUCGAUAUAUCGCAAGAGUAACUGAGUAAGUGACGAUGCACCCCUGGCAUUGUGCCUAUCGGAGUGCAUAAUCAAAACAAAAACAAAAAACAGCUGAUUGGGAAUUGCAUUACAUGCAAAUUUUAUGCUGCCAAUUGCUGCUAUUAUACGAAAUGCAGAGGAGCGCAGAUAUUGAAGAUAGCGAAAUUGCAUUAACUGCAAGCUGACUAGCAGCUGCUGCCAUAUAAAGUGCAGAGGGGCGCAAAACC